rnacentral:lncRNA from 1 species
UCUCUAUAACUUCUUUAUUCAAAUUCCAAAUAUAAUAAAUUUUUUGCAAAAGAUGUAAGUCAUAAAAUCAUUGUUUUAGCCACACCUUUUAAUUUCCAAAAAUUAUCGUAAAACUCCUUGUAUGCUCAAAAGAGCGACAAUAUAACUUUAAAUGAUACCUUAACUUCAAAUGGCUAUAAUUUCUUCAUCCUAACUCCAAACUCACUAAUUUUUGUA